rfam:Rattus norvegicus chromosome 3, whole genome shotgun sequence.
AGGGAGAAAAGAACCAGUAGGCAAGUAGUGCCUUUCGCAGCGCAGACUCGGGGACUCUUGGAGGCAGCAGAGACUGCGCAGCCUGGGACUGUCAGGCGCUCAGGCCGGGAAGCCGCGGCUUGCACCCGGAUUCGGAAUCGGGCUCCAAGCUUCCCAAUUAAACCUGCGGGAAACAACAGCCAAGGAUGUUGGCUGAACACGAAGAAACUUAGCGUUUC